GCGCUCGUGGUGAAAUGGAUAUCACGUCAGCCUUCGAAGCUGAAUUUGGGGGUUCGAAUCCCUCCGAGCGCA
rnacentral:tRNA from 1 species